GCCUCCCAAAAGGUAACGGAGAGGUGCAAAGGUUUUCUCGGAUCGGACAAAGAUUGUCCCUCGAAUGAAAAGACAGAAGGGAGCUUGACUACAAGACCCACAAGUCGGCUUAGUGAUCCGACAGUGCCGAGUGGAAGACCCGUCGCUACUC
rnacentral:ncRNA from 1 species